rnacentral:rRNA from 1 species
UCCGGAAUCACUGGGCGUAAAGGGCGCGUAGGCGGCCCGGUAAGUAGGAGGUGAAAUCCUGCGGCUUAACCGCAGGGCUGCCUUCUAAACUGCCAGGCUUGAGCACAGUAGAGGCAGGUGGAAUUCCCGGUGUAGCGGUGGAAUGCGUAGAGAUCGGGAAGAACAUCGGUGGCGAAGGCGGCCUGCUGGGCUGUUGCUGACGCUGAGGCGCGACAGCGUGGGGAGCAAACAGG